rnacentral:rRNA from 1 species
GAAGGGUGCAAGCGUUACUCGGAAUUACUGGGCGUAAAGCGUGCGUAGGUGGUUUGUUAAGUCUGAUGUGAAAGCCCUGGGCUCAACCUGGGAACUGCAUUGGAAACUGGCUUACUAGAGUGCGGUAGAGGGGUGUGGAAUUCCCGGUGUAGCAGUGAAAUGCGUAGAUAUCGGGAGGAACAUCUGUGGCGAAGGCGACACCCUGGACCAGCACUGACACUGAGGCACGAAAGCGUGGGGAGCAAACAGGAUUAGAUACCCUGGUAGUCCACGCCCUAAACGAUGCGAACUGGAUGUUGGGGGCAACUUGGCCCUCAGUAUCGAAGCUAACGCGUUAAGUUCGCCGCCUGGGAAGUACGGUCGCAAGACUGAA